ACAGGAAGAGAAGUGUGAAGUGACAUUAAGCAAAGCAAAGUAAUACACACAACCACACCCACACUUACGUGUGAGCGCACACACACACACACACACAGAAAUACACAGAAACUCUAACUCAGGCUCCCUCUGUGUUGUACAGGCCCUGUUGAAGAGAAUGGACAGUCAUCUGAAAAAGACAAUUCUGAUACGUACCACGUAUACAGCUCAAUCCUUGAGAGACCAGAAACCUCAGCACAGCCGGAUGGGUUGUACAGUCUUCUGCAGGCACACUGAAACUACACCACUGGCUUUGUGUAGCAUUGUACAGCUAUGUCUCACAUGUCUCAUACAUGUCUCAUACAAAUACGGCGGACUAUGUAAUUUUGUAAAGACAAAGGAGAUGAUUGUGGACUACAGGAAAAAGUGGAUCGAGCAAGCCCCCAUUCUCAUCGACGGGGCUGCAGUGGAGCAGGUUGAGAGCUUCAAGUUCCUUGGUGUCCACAUCACCAACAAACUAACAUGGUCCAAGCACACCAAGACAGUCGUGAAGAGGGUACAACAAAACCUAUUCCCCCUCAGGAGACUGAAAAGAUUUCGCAUGGGUCCUCAGAUCCUCAAAAGGUUCUACAGCUGCACCAUCGAGAGCAUCCUGACUGGUUGCAUCACUAACUGGUAUGACAAAUGCUCGGCCUCCAACCGCAAGGCACUACAUAGGGUAGUGCGAAUGGCCCAGUACAUCACUGGGGCCAAGUUUCCUGCCAUCCAGGACCUCUAUACAGGGCGGUGUCAGAGGAAGGCCCUAAAAAUUGUCAAAGACUCCAGCCACCCUAGUCAUUGACUGUUCUCUCAUCUACCGCAUGGCAAGCGGUACCGGAGCGCCAAAUCUAGGUCCAAGAGGCUUCUAAACAGCUUCUACCCCCAAGCUAUAAGACUCCUGAACAUCUCGUUAAAUGGCUAUCAGGAAAUGUGCAGUGCCCCCUGCUCCUCUCACCCCAUCUCACCAGUCUUCACACCACUGCAUGUUGUCAUCUAUGCAUAGUCACUUUAAUAACUCUACCUACAUGUACAUACUUCCUCAAAUAACCUGUGUCCCCGAACAUUGACUCUGUAUCGGUACCCCCUGUAUAUAGUCUUGCUACUGUUAUUUCACCACUGCUCUUUAAUUACUUGUUGCUUUUAUCUCUUAUUCUUAUGUGUAUUUUUUUUAAACUGCAUUGUGUGUUAGGGGCUCGAAAGUAAGCAUUUCACUGUAAGGUUGUAUUCUGCGCAUGUGACUAAUAACAUUUGAUUUGACUUGAUUUGAUAUAGAGAGAGACAGAAAGAUCUAUGGAGUGGUCAGAAUAUUGUCAACAACAAAAAAAUAUUGAGUAUAAAAAUAAAUGUUUUAUUUUUUAUUUUUUUUUACUCACCGAAGGAUAGAGAAAACGCUUAUUAAGUGUGUGGAGUGACUUUCCUCUGUUUUGUACAUUACAAGAAAAACUCCGUAGCAAAAAGCAACAUUCCCUGUCUGUGGUUCUCAUGAAGGGUAGUCUGGCAUAAGAAACCUUGAGACACAGCCCAAAGGAAAGGAGUGAGAAAAUGGUUCCAUUCUCAUUUAGAAGACCUAAUGUUACAUUCCUGUUGCAGUGUGAGAAAUCUAUUUAGAGACUCUCUCUCUCUCUCUCUCACACACACACACACACACACACACACACACACACACACACACACACACACACACACACACACACACACACACACACACACACCGUUGGGUUAGAGUGAGACCUUAGUCUUCUCACAGAGGGGAAGACAUCCUGUUUUUGCAGAACACUAAAGUAGCAAAGAGACUAUUUUGAGCAGCACAGCGGAUAGAAACUUGCACUUGUGAGUGAGGACUAUCGCUACCUUGGUUAAAGUGGAGGUUUGGAGUGACUCCGUCGUUGCAGAUGCAUUGUCCAGCCAGUCUCUGUGUUGUGUGUUUGUUUGUUGUUGUCUUCAAUGCCGUUGUCCUGGUGUACCCAGAUGUGGUGACAUAUGUGACAGUUGAGUGUGUAGAAAACCACACAAGCCCUUCUAGUGGGAAAACAUCCAAGACUGUUACACCCCCCCCACUCCCACCACCACCUGCCCCCCUCCAUCCUCCAUGGUGCCUGUGUGUAUGUGUGUGUGUGUGUGUGUGUGAGUGUGUGUGUGUGUGUGUGUGUGUGUGUGUGUGUGUGUGUGUGUGUGUGUGUUUCCCUAUACGAUGGUCACCUCUGAGUCAACUUCAACACAGAAUACAGACAGGACAGUUGUCUCACAACUCCUCCUCCCAUUGACCAACAAUCACCAGUUCGGAUUAAAUCAAAUUGAAGAAAAAAAUAAAGACGUUGUGUGGAUGUUGUGUUUGUGUUUUCAAUGUCAGAGAUUGGUACUAAUGAUCUGUAAGGAAAGGCAAUCCAGAAGAGCACACGGAUGGAGGCGUGAAGAACCUCUCACUUUUACCAUCAUGGGGAACGGAUUCAGAAUCCUCAAUUUUCAGGUAAUUUACUACUGAAUACUUGAAGUAGGGGGUUCUCCUACAAUGAGAAGUGAAGAUACAGCACCUGGUAUAUAGAACAUGGUAGAAAACGUGGAACACUUCAUUGUGCUGAUGCAUGCAGAUUUUAACGUAAUGUGCCAACUGAGAGUGAAAGGUUGGGGAGAAUCUCCUAUCCUCUAUGCAGAGCAAGAUCUUGAUGUGCAAUCAAACUGUUAAGGAUUCAUCAAUGGCCUAUCAGUUAACAUACACCAGGGUUGUGUUCAUUAGGGCACGCAAUGUUUUAAAAUGUUUUGCAACGGAAAAUGAGAAUGAGCGUUUCUCAUUGGACAAGUCCAAGUAGUCUUUCCCUGUUUCAGUGCAUUUUUCUUCUGUUUGGUGCCUAAUGAACACGACCCAGGAGUUGAAGGCCAACAGACAUCACCAAUAGUAAUCGAAGGAGUAAAAGACCUGGUUCAGAGUAUGAGAAGCCUAAUAAUAGGCAGACACAUUCACUUACUUUGUCGUGUACAAGUUGCAUUUGAUUUAUUGUAUUAUAUUGAAAAUGCAAAGCAUUGGAUGAAACAAAACACUGUGACCAACGCCAGAUUAUUAUUUUUUACUUAAAAAUUGUGUUAAUUUUUUUGUAUUUAAGUUAUUCUUGAUUACAUUUUUUUUUUAUCAGUUUGGCUUAUUGAAUAUGUCAGUUUGGGACUGUACUAUUUGUAAUAGUAACUGUUUUCUGCUGUACAGUAAAGAUUUAGGAACAAAUUAAAUGUGUGUCCAGCAUGCUGAAUGAUUACUUGUGUGAACGUGGGCUUAUUUCCCAUGAUGCUCCAGUCCUCAUACAUGAAUUGCCUCUGCAUCGUGACAGUGCGAUGUUGUGUUUGAGAGUGGUGUGUGUCUCCUCACCUAUCGUGUCCCCCUAGUAGACAGCCUGUGUGGUGUUAUGAGAGAGGCAGCAUCAUUUUGGGGUGUUACACAACUAAAUCUGUCAGAAGUGUGUGUGUGUGUGUGUGUGUGUGUGUGUGUGUGUGUGUGUGUGUGUGUGUGUGUGUGUGUGUGUGUGUGUGUGUGUGUGUGUGUGUGUGUGUGUGUGUGUGUGUGUGUGUGUGUGUGUGUGUGUGUGUGUGUGUGUGCGCACGCAUGCAUUCGUGUGUGUGUGUACUGUAGGUGCGCGCGCAUGUGUAUGUGUAAGAGACAAAGAAGGAGAGCGAGAGAUUCAAAAUUCUCUGUUGCAGGAAACCCCCUGAGAGAAAGAGAGAGAAUGUUCUGUUCAGCAUGGAUACUGUGUUUUAAAACCUACUGUAGGAGGCUGUCUCCACUGCCCCAGACGUUUGCUAUUGUAUGUGCUGUAUCAGAAUAUUACUAUUGAGUGUUGGCCAGCUUGUUUAUAUUCAUUCAAUAAAGGUGACUUUCUUUCAGACUUGUAUGAGGGCUGGUCUCUAUGUAAAUAGUACUGUAUGUCCGGUUAUAAACUACACAUGAAGAACUGAGAUCACAUGCAUACUUUCACUAUGUAUCAUAGCUAUGAUUACUCUCCUAUAGUAUAAUAUCCACCUCUCGUCACCUAAGAAAACUGACCUGCCGGUUGGUUGACCAUGCUGUACAAAUGUUCAUUCAUGGUACUGUAUAUAAAACAAUUAAAUGAUCAGCCUGUGGAAUGUAAGUCAUUAUGUGCUGUGUGAUUGAGUUGUUACUGCUAAUGAACAGUCUCCAUUUUACUAAUGUACUGCAUCUGUAUAAAUGCACUGUAAAUGGACAACAGAAGACACAAAGACAUUUGAAGGAUGUUUUUUUCUCCCAGAUUGAGUAAGAUGCUCGUUUGACUUUUUGUCAUUGCUAGAUGCUGUUUCAUCCCUCCAAGCUCAAGGUUAGUGAGAUAACAUUGUUAAAGGUGACAUAGUAAGAUCUCCACACACUUUAGUUUUAAAGUAGUUUUUCAAUUUUCACGAUUUUAGUUUCCCCAUUAAAUGAAAUGUGCUAACAAUAUUUUAGUCAGUCACCGU
rnacentral:lncRNA from 8 species